CCUAACAACACACAACAUUCCAGGAAUGUACUACCAAAGUUCUAUCAAUAUUUGAAUGUCCUGGACAUUUAGGGAACAUUCGGUGAACAUCUGAUUAAAUUAUUCGUGGAAUGUUACCAUAAGACAUUCUGUGAACAUACUACCAAUGUUCCUGUUCAUUUUCAAAUUCACGGCGCAUGUAUUUGUGCAUGGUGCUUAGAGAGGGCAUCACGUGACUAAAAACGACCAAUGACCUCACUUCAGACUUCGGUUCGGCCAUCUUGACAUGCAUCUUGCCUUGGCCACCUUGCCGUGCGUGAUCGUUGUUUGUUUUUAUUUGUGCUUUUUAAGAAUAUUUUUUAAUUCGGAUACUUUUAUAAUAACUUUAAUAGUAUUAUUAAUAUAGUGCAUAAAAUCAGUUGGAGUAGCAGAAGCAAUGUAGAUAAAAAAUCUGCAGGAAUAAUGUUUCAAAGCUUUCCAGAAGAUCCUGCGAAGAAGGCAUGAAGUAUUGAUCAGAUUUGUUAAUAGAGCAGUAUGUUCAAAACAUUUUUUAGAAAAAGAUAUUGACAGAACUUCACUUUCAACCGUUUGAGAGACUGUGCUGUUCCAAUAGCUUAUAUCACACAGAAUCAGCUGAGAGAAGUGGUCUACAAAAAACCAGGAAGGAAAUGGAAUAUGUGGCUAUGAAAGGCAAAAGAAAGGUUUACAAAGCAAAUGUGACACAUUUUUUUAUAGGAAUAUCAGUAAAUUACAUUAAAAAAAUGUAUGAAAAGAUUUUUUGCAAUAAAAAUGUUUAUAUUUAUCAA